GACGAACCGUGCGAACGUUAUUCGGAAUCACUGGGCUUAAAGCGCGUGUAGGCGGGCCGCCACGUCAGUCGCUGAAAUCCCCCGGCUCAACCGGGGAAGUGGCACUGAUACGAGCGGCCUGGAGGGAGGUAGGGGGGGCUGGAACUUCCGGUGGAGCGGUGAAAUGCGUUGAGAUCGGAAGGAACGCCCGUGGCGAAAGCGAGCCCCUGGACCUUUUCUGACGCUGAGACGCGAAAGCUAGGGGGAGCGAACGGG
rnacentral:rRNA from 1 species